rnacentral:rRNA from 1 species
UACAGAGGUCCCGAGCGUUUGUUCGGAUUCAUUGGGCGUAAAGGGUGCGUAGGCGGUCUUCUAAGUUUGAUGUGAAAUCCCGGGGCUCAACCCUGGAAUUGCAUUGAAUACUGGAGGACUAGAGUACCGGAGAGGAAACUGGAAUUUACGGUGUAGCAGUGAAAUGCGUAGAGAUCGUAAGGAAGACCAGUGGCGAAGGCGAGUUUCUGGACGGUAACUGACGCUGAGGCACGAAGGCCAGGGAGCAAACGGG